rnacentral:rRNA from 1 species
UACGUAGGGGGCUAGCGUUGUCCGGAAUCAUUGGGCGUAAAGCGCGUGUAGGCGGCCCGGUAAGUCCGCUGUGAAAGUUGGGGGCUCAACCCUCGAAAGCCGGUGGAUACUGUCGGGCUCGAGUACGGAAGAGGCGAGUGGAAUUCCUGGUGUAGCGGUGAAAUGCGCAGAUAUCAGGAGGAACACCAAUUGCGAAGGCAGCUCGCUGGGACGUUACUGACGCUGAGACGCGAAAGCGUGGGGAGCAAACAGG